AACCAUCCAUCCUUCAAUCGGGUCGGUGACAGCGAGACCCAGGUCUGAAGCCACAUGGGCUGCUUGUGUUUUCUCAGCAGUGUAGCAUUUCUUUGCACGUUAGCAAAAGAUUUCUAGUUCAAUGUGUUUUUUUCGGCACAGCUAGACAGACUCGACGAACGACAACCCUCCUCACAGUCGUCAGGGAAAUACACUUAGCUAAGCAGUGCCUGUUCAACACAAGUCAGAAGUACCAUGUCUACCGGUGAGUCACAGAUGAAUGAAGCGGAUGCACAGUUUAACUUUCCACAAGAAUGUGAAAGCGGGGUACUCCUUCUCCGUCCAGCUGAUUCCUGUAUAAAGCGAUGGCUACUGCUUUUCCGGAAGACGACUUCAAAAAAGGACCGUCAGGGGCCGGAUUCGCCUACUCGGCGCCGGCAGCGCCUCUUACUGGCUAUCAUCAUCCUGUUAGGUUUGACCGCCAUGGUGCUGCUCCUUCUGUGGAACUACCAGUGCAUUUUCAUCGAGCGCCUCUGCCAAGGGCAUGAGGAGAGCUCCGUCUUCCCGGUUUUUCCAGGAUGGAUGUCCACGUCCACGCCCACCGCAGGGAGCCUGGGCUGAGAUCGGAGAGGGAAACGGACAGUCCUUCUCACCCUCAACCCCGUCCCCAUCACCUAUGUUGUAGGUGUUGAGGACCGCAGAAUAGCCUGUGUUUGGGAGGCUUUGUUAAUAUGUUCCCUGGUUAUUAAAGUAGGCUACUAUUUAACUAGUAGAGGGGUUACCGGGGAUAUUGUGCAGCCUGUGAAGUGUUGAGUGACUGUCGGUUGCGUUAUUUGCGUCAAAUUCUUGCAGUAGCUCAGCAAUAGAGACCGGAUUUUACAACUAUACUCCUAUACAUUUGCCGAAGAACCCAGCUCUUGCUGAGGGCACAUAAGUUGCCAUGACAAUUAGGUCACUACAUACUCUUCAAGCCAGUUCGCUUUUAAUUUAAGUUUAGGAAAGUGGGCACUGCACUGUCCUUAGAUGCAGCUGUAUGUCACCCACAUGUACUGUCCAUCGGUAACUUCCGGAUUAACUAUCUCGUGCUAUCACAACCCCCCUGCGGAUGCACUGCACAACCUGCAUUUUCUUUUCUUUUUUCUUUUUUUAAAAUUUAUUUUGGUGUGCUCUGUUUCUGUUCUCUUGUAUUUGUUCUAUAACUAUUUAAAAUGUCUUCAUUUUAGGAUUUUUUUUUUUUAUCUAUGUAAUUGCUGUACUCUUAUUCUUCCCAUUAAAAAACAACUUUGACACUGCUCUGCGAACAUGUGCUCUAUAAAUAAAAUGUGUUCCUGGAGGUAUCAAUACAUGAACAGGAUUGCCCAACCCUGUCCCUGGAAAUCUACCAUCCUGUAGGUUUUCACUCCAACACUAACAAAGCACACCUCAUUCAACAGCUAUUGAUCUGAGCUGCUAAUUAAUAGAAUGAGGUGUGCCAAAUUAGGGUUGAAGUGAAAACAUACAGGACUGCCAGAUCUCCAGGAACAGGGUUGGGCCGCCCUGGGGCGUAUUUCACAAAACAGGAUUACUGAGGGUGCCUCCCAAUUCUCAAAGAAUUCAUCCUCCUUUCUUGCACUGCCUCCUUGUCUCCUCUGUGCCCUGGAAACCAAUCUUUGUGUCCUCUUUCCCUCUAGUGUCGCAAUACUGGAGGAGACGAGCGAAGCGCACAGAACUAUAUUGGUGGCUUCAAACUUGUCUCCUCCCCUACUUUCCUCCACAUACUUUGGGGUGUGAGACGAGCAGUAGUGGGGCAGUGGAGGAAAGGAGGUGAAGAGUGAAGAGUAAGGGCAGGCAACCUGAGUUUGCUGGAUAACUAAUCAUAAUUGCCUU